AUAUUGCUUUGCGUGAGUGAUGGUAGUGGAGCUCUUUUUUGAAAGGCGUUUUAGCCUCUUGAAAAAAAGCGGGAACGUACAGCACGACCCGAA
rnacentral:sRNA from 1 species